ensembl:snRNA U2 U2 spliceosomal RNA
AUCGCUUCUCGGCCUUUUGGCUAAGAUCAAGUGUAGUAUCUGUUCUUAUCAGUUUAAUAUCUGAUACGUCCUCGAUGAGAGGACUUUAUAUUAAAGGUAUUUUUGUUGUUGGGAGCCGGACCCGGAGCUUGCUCCAUCCGCUCCGCGCAUCGUCCUGGUAUUGCAGCGCGUCCGGGCUCGGUGCACCCUGC